UACGUAGGGUCCAAGCGUUAUCCGGAAUUACUGGGCGUAAAGCGUACGCAGAUGGCGUGACAGGUGAGAUGCGAAAUCUUGUGGCUCAACCAUAUAGACUGUGUCUCAAACCGUCGUGCUAGAGGUUGGUAGAGGCAAGCGGAAUUUCUGGUGUAGCAGUGACAUGCGUAGAUAUCAGAAGGAACACCAAUGGCGAAGGCAGCUUGCUGGGCCACACCUGACGUUAAGGUACGAAAGCGUGGGGAGCGAACGGG
rnacentral:rRNA from 1 species